rnacentral:rRNA from 1 species
UACGAAGGGAGCUAGCGUUGUUCGGAAUCACUGGGCGUAAAGCGCACGUAGGCGGCUGUGUCAGUCAGGGGUGAAAUCCCGGAGCUCAACUUCGGAACUGCCUUUGAUACUGGAGAGCUUGAGUCCGGAAGAGGUGAGUGGAACUCCGAGUGUAGAGGUGAAAUUCGUAGAUAUUCGGAAGAACACCAGUGGCGAAGGCGGCUCACUGGUCCGGUACUGACGCUGAGGUGCGAAAGCGUGGGGAGCAAACAGG